GAUAAACGCUGGCGGCGUGCCUAACACAUGCAAGUCGAACGCCCUUUUGCGCAAGUGAGAGGGAGUGGCGGACGGGUGAGUACCACGUGGGUACCUACCUUGAGGUGAGGAAUACCACCGAGAAAUCGGUGACAAGACCGCAUACGCUCGGGCAACCGAGCAAAGUCAUGCAAAUGACGCCACAAGAUGAGCCUGCGCCUGAUUAGCUGGUUGGUGAGGUAACAGCUCACCAAGGCGACGAUCAGUAGCUGGUCUGAGAGGAUGAUCAGCCACACUGGGAUUGAGAAC
rnacentral:rRNA from 1 species